rnacentral:rRNA from 1 species
UGGGGAAUAUUGGGCAAUGGGCGCAAGCCUGACCCAGCAACGCCGCGUGAAGGAAGAAGGCCCUCGGGUUGUAAACUUCUUUUAACAGGGACGAAGAAAGUGACGGUACCUGUUGAAUAAGCCACGGCUAACUACGUGCCAGCAGCCGCGGUAAUACGUAGGUGGCAAGCGUUAUCCGGAUUUACUGGGUGUAAAGGGCGUGUAGGCGGGACUGCAAGUCAGAUGUGAAAACCAUGGGCUCAACCCAUGGCCUGCAUUUGAAACUGUAGUUCUUGAGUGUUGGAGAGGCAGGCGGAAUUCCGUGUGUAGCGGUGAAAUGCGUAGAUAUACGGAGGAACACCAGUGGCGAAGGCGGCCUGCUGGACAAUAACUGACGCUGAGGCACGAAAGCGCGGGUAUCGAACAGGAUUAGAUACCC